AGCAGCAGCGCGGUAAUACAGAGGGUGCGAGCGUUAAUCGGAUUUACUGGGCGUAAAGCGUGCGUAGGCGGCUUCUUAAGUCGGAUGUGAAAUCCCUGAGCUUAACUUAGGAAUUGCAUUCGAUACUGGGAAGCUAGAGUAUGGGAGAGGAUGGUAGAAUUCCAGGUGUAGCGGUGAAAUGCGUAGAGAUCUGGAGGAAUACCGAUGGCGAAGGCAGCCAUCUGGCCUAAUACUGACGCUGAGGUACGAAAGCAUGGGGAGCAAACAGGAUUAGAUACCCCCGUAGUCCCUGUCUCUUAUACC
rnacentral:rRNA from 1 species